ACAAGUUGCAAUUCUCUUAACUGUAAAUUUUACUUUUCCAAAUUUUCGUCUCCUUUACAAUUUUUAAAUAAGGACUCGACUGAUCUUCGUCUUUACCAGGUUUCCCUCUCAACAUUUUCUGACGUUGCAUUCUUCUUUUAAUAAUUUACACGUCACAAUCCGCACCUUCGAGAGUUUUUAUUUUAUCUCAAUUGUCCCAAUUUAUCAAACUAAGUCGGCAAUUCUAUAUUAAAUAAAAUUUUCUUCCGCUAAAUUGAAACGUGCGAAAAAGAGACAGAUCCUGUGAAUAUCUUCGCUAAUUAAUUAGAAGAUAUUAUAAAUUAACGAUCCAACAAUCUUCAGUAACUAAUCAAUAAGAUUUAAAAAGUGAUAGAUAAACACUAUGAUAUGAAAAUGUGUAUCGAGUCAGUUAUGUGAGUCGAAUAUCGAGUUUCUGUUCAAUUAGUGAAACAAGUAUACAUUGCGUAACGUGAUGAUGACCAGUCGUCGUAAACGAGAUUGUAACAAAAAAUUCUUUGUGCUCUGACGUAAUACUGACGUUUACUUUCGCUCUGAACAAAAGAUUACCUUGCCAGACGUUUCAACGUAGACACAGAGUAUAUAGGUUUUCGUAAAUUUUAAAAUCGCUCUGCCUUCCUUUUAACGCGCGUUACGAUACGAAUGAAAUUUUCAUCUAACGCUUGAAUCUCACUGGAACGACGAUUAAAUACAUCAGCGAUAGAUGAAAUAAUAUUACGAGGUGAAAUGUAACGCGAAAAAGCACAUGGUGAGAGAAUGGUUUUUUAGUUGCACGAAUUUCGUUGAAGCACACUCGACAGGAUCGUCCUCGUCAUAAAAGUUCAUUAAAAUUUGCAAAUUCCGGCGAGACUGUUCUCUCGACGAGACGAUUGCAUCGUGUUAGUCGAUUAUUUGGAAAAUAUAUU